CCUUCGUGCGCGGUGUCAGUUCUUACCAUGCUACAGAUAUAAAAGCUAAAAGCAAUAGUACUUCAGUCUCCAUUGUCAAGUUAAUUCUACCGUGACAUCUAGAGCACGACAUGGUGUCAGAAGUGGCAUAAGAUUGAACAAAAAACGGAGGAAAAGAUUCCAGUAUUAGCUGUAUGAGUGAGAACGUGGACUUCACCAGUAGGCUAAUAAGACGAGUAGCUAGUUAGCAGGCUAAAGUGAGUGAAACAACAUACUUGAUAGUUAUCUAUCAAGCUUGGGAUUAGCAGCAAUGCAGUCAUUUACACCACCAUCUCUGUUGUUAUUGACUGGAAAGACGCGCUGGAGAUCACAUAUGGCGACCCGGAAAACAAGAAACUGGCCGAGGUGAUGAAAGCAUUUGAAAACUACUGUGUACCACGCAGGAAUACUGUGUUCCAGAGACAUCCGUUUUGGGCACACAAGUUCAACGAACAGGCAGGCUAAAUGGUGGUCCUUUACGGAACUACAGUAAAGACAUUGGGAACCGGACCUCCAUCCGGAUGAGCUACCCAGAGGGAUGCCCCAAGGUCUGGGAGUUUGUUGACCCUGAGUUGCAGUUUGCGGCAGUGGUCUACAAGGCUGAGACUUCAAGUGGAUCAGAGCAAUGAUCAACAGACAGAGAGUGUCAUUUUGGGACCGGCUGUUUUCCUGGCAGAAGCUGCCAGAGGAGAUACCAGUAGACUUAUCAAAGUUUCGGAUCUUGUAUCUGGAGAUCAUCAGACAGAUGGCGAUGGAACUGUUGGACUACCGCACAGCCUCUAGGGCCGGGACCAGGUCAGACAACCUUUCACCAAUGACACAGCACACUUUACAUCAUUACACAGCAGACUUACAAAACAUUUUUAUACCCUAACUUAGCAAAUAUAAAAGGGAGAAUGAUAAAGGUGCUCUCCAGGAAAUUCUAUGCACAUGAUCAUACCAGUUUGUCACGCCCUGAUCUGUUUCACCUGUCUUUGCGAUGGUCUCCACCCACCUCCAGGUGUCACCCGUUUUCCAUAUUAGUCCCUGGGUAUUUAUUCCGGUGUUCCCUGGUUGUCCGUUGCCAGUUUGUCUUGUCUUAUCAAGUCAACCAGCGUGGUUUUCCGUGCGCCUGCUGUUUCUUAUCUCUCUUUUGCUAGUCCUCCUGUGUCUGCUUCUGGGUCUUGCCCUUUGCCCCUAUCCAGUUGGUAAAUUGUUUAUCUUUCCUUUAUCUCCCCUUUUUCCAGGGGAUGGCAGACUUCAACUCAAUAUUGAGAGAUGUUAUUGUUCUCUUUGUGGGCAUCAAAAAUGUGUCAAUACCUUUUCUGACUGGACUGCAAACUCUUCUAUGACUUGAUGUGUGCAACAUAAUGGAAAACAAGGAAGCUGCACACUUUGCUGCUCAGCUGAAACAACAGGCUUAAAUACUGUACCAGUACUUCCAUUUACAAUUCCCUCAAUACUUGAAGUAUAAUUGCUGCUAAAAUGUAAUAAUAAUAAAAAUAUAUAUAUAAAGAGCUUAUUGACAUUUCAUCAGAGCAAAUGGUAGCAUAAAGCUAAAAAGCAAAAAAUACUUCCCAUAAAAAUGUGUAGGUCUCUUGUAGUAUGAACAGAUUCACUAACAGAUGUUUAUAAUUUUAUGGAUUUGAUGUGAAGUUUAAUGUUCCGUUCUUAUAAAAAUUGGAUGUCUGAGCUUGGUUGUUUUGUCAUCAAUUAAUUGUAUUUUUAUUUUAAUGUACAUUUGUACUGUGAUUAAAACAUGACUUUGAUCAUUUUUAUUCAUAA